GGAGGAUCCUUUGCUUCAGAUGAUCCUGGAUCAUGGAGCCAUGAAGAUGUUGAUAGUUGGAUAUCAGGAACAGAUGAUGUCAAUCACUAAUGGAUCACAGUUGACCAGGGGAAACUAAAAUCAUGGGAAACAAAACCAUGGAUAAGGCAGUACUACUGUAUACAGUUGGCCCUCCAUAGCCAUGCACUCUGCAUCAGUGGAUUCAAUCAGCCAUGGAUAAAAAAAUGUUUGAAAAGUUUAAAAGAAUGGUUGUUUCUGUACUGAACAGGUGCAUCUUCAAUGUUAGCUAAAUACACCUCUAACGUAUUGAAGGAAAAAAUUCAAACCAGACAGAGAGGACUGGAAUAUAUAACUAGCGCUUCAGUGCAAAGACACAGACCUACAUCAUGAGAAACAACAGCCCACUAGGAACCAUAACCUCCCCCACCCAAAAAAAAAAAGUCACUGACCAUAGCAAGAUAGCAAUAUGUGAGUUCUCUGACCAAGAAUUUAAAAUAGAAGUUUUAAGAAUAUGCAGUGCAUAGCAAUUCACAAAUUUAUGAAAGUAAUUUAACAAAUAAAUUGAAAUAAUUUUUAAAAAUCAAAUAGACAUCUUAGGAAUCAAAAAUGAAUUUGCUAAACUGAAAAACUCAUUGGAGGCUCUGAACAGAAGAAUGGAAUAAGCAAAGGAAAGAAUCAGGGCGCUUAAACACAGGCUAUUUGAUAUUACACUGUUAGAGAAAAAAAAAAAGAAAGAGAAGAAAUGAUAAUCUCCUGCAAGAUACAGAAAAUUAUCUCAAAAAAAUCUAAGAACUACUGGUGUUCUACCGGGAGUUGAACAAGAGAAAGAGGUGGAAAAGUUACUCAAAGAAAUAAUAACAAAAAAUUCCCAAACAUGAGAAAGAUAGAAAUAUACAGUUACAGGAAAAUCAGAGAAUGCCAAACAUAUUUGAUGCAAAUAAGACUACCCCAAGAUAAAUAAUAAUCAAACUCUCAAAGGUCAAAGACAAAUUAGGAACCUAAAAGCACAAAAGAAUAGUUGCAAAUAACAUAUAAAGGAGCUUUAAUUCCUCUGCCAACAGACUUCUCAGUGAAAAUCCUAUGGGCCAGGAGGGAGUAAAACAUUUUUAAAGUGCUGAAAGAAAAAACUGCCAUUUGAGAAUAGAACAAAGCUAUCCUUCAGAUAUGAAGGAGAUAUAAAGUCUUUUCUAGACAAACAAAAACAGUGACAAUUCACCACCACCUGACCCAUCUUAUAAAAAAAUCUUUAAAAAGUCUUCAAUAUGAAAUUAAAAAAAACAAAUAAACAAUAAUAUGCAAAAAAUGAAGCAUUUGAAGGUAUAAAACUCACUGGUAAUAUUAAGUACAAAAGCAACCCCAGAAUACUGUAUUACUGUAAUUGUGGUGUGCAAUCCAAUUAUAACACUAAUUUAAAGCCUAAAAGACAAAUCUGUUAAAAACAAUGGUAGCUACAGCAACCUUUUAAAAGAUAGGCAAUAUUAAAAAAUGUAAAUAGAGACAACCAAAAGUCAAAAUGUUUGGUAUGGAAUUAAAAUUGAGAUUUUUUGGUUUGAGUUUGCUUUUGUUUUUAUACAUAUUUCAUGA
rnacentral:lncRNA from 1 species